UACGGGGGGGGCAAGCGUUGUUCGGAAUUACUGGGCGUAAAGGGCUCGUAGGCGGCCAACUAAGUCGGACGUGAAAUCCCCAGGCUCAACUUGGGAACUGCGUCCGAUACUGGAUGGCUUGAAUCCGGGAGAGGGAUGCAGAAUUCCAGGUGUAGCGGUGAAAUGCGUAGAUAUCUGGAGGAAUACCGGUGGCGAAGGCGGCAUCCUGGACCGGCAUUGACGCUGAGGAGCGAAAGCCAGGGGAGCAAAGCGGG
rnacentral:rRNA from 1 species